GCAGUACUGGCGCUCUCAACCUGAGCAGGACUCCAAUCAGGUUUGCACCCGAGGCGAACCAAAUGUCAGAAUUGGUUUUUGAUGCUUUCUAGAAACAUGCUUGUGUUUCUGCAGAUUAGUGAGCAGUUUGGAAUGAGAAACAAAGCAUGAAAGCCACCAUACCUGAACUCAACAGUUCUCUUUUUGUGUUUUGAGUGGAAGACGGAGGGGGAAAGAGAGGAGGAGGAGGAGAGAGGAGGAAAGGGGAGAGGUUCAGGGGUGACAGGAGGACGGCUUCAUGGCUGUGCUUUUCCCUUCGCUGGAUUUGCAGCGCUCUUCUUUCUCCUUUCACUUUGCCUCAUUCGGCAUGGAGAAGGAGGGAGUCGGAGAGACUAGGAGUUUUUACAGUUUUAACAAAAUAUUGAGGAAAUUCCAGCCAGAUUUUCUGUUUUGUCUUUUUCUUUAAGCUGGGCUCUUGGCCGGGUUACAGAUGUUGCUCGUCUCAUGCUGAUAGGGCAGCUUGAAGUAUGAAAAUACUAAAAGAUUCCUGCUUUUCAAGACUUUCGGGCUGAUUUGGUUUCAUUACUAGCAUGUUUGCGCUCUGUUUCUCCUUGACGGUCCCGGGCGGACUCGACUGCCUACACCUUCUGCCAGACUCAGCCCCGCUCAGUGUUAAAAACACACAUGGGAAGCAAAAAUGAAGCCAGACCGACUGUGGACUGUGGAGAAAUUCUACCCAUUGGUCAGUGGGGGCCCUCCUUUGACCCUGUGAGAUGCGAGUCUACAGAAGUUUCAGAGAGCCCAGAGAUUCCUGAAGGCCAAACCACCUGCCUGGACACAACAACCACCACUGACAGGUGGAGAAGAACCGGGACAGGACCUGGAGGACAAAAACAUUGGACCUCGAAGGACCAAUGGUCCUGUUAUCCUUCUAGACAGCUUGGCCACACAUGCUGGUCUUUGAACAACACAGAUGGGAUAAAAAUGAUAAAAAUGAAGACGUCUUUCUGCACAUUUAUCCAAAAGAAACCAAACAUCUUCUACCUUUGGUUCCUCCUGCUUCAGUGUGUUUGUCCUUGAGGAUCUCCACACUAAUAGCAGCACAGGUUGUGGACACACACUAAACCUCCACUUAAUCAUCAGAUUAGAGGAGUAAAAUACUGCCCCCUGUUGACUCACUCUGGGAGGUGUUCAUAGUUUUGUGACUUGGCACCAACAGAUUUCUGAGAAGUUCCAGUUUGAUUCUUGUGUAGCUUUGUCGCAGAAUCUCUAUAUGGAUGGAUUCAUGUGUCGUGGAUCUAAAGCAACAAACUGAGACCAAUAGAGCAGGUCCUGACUCGUCGGGGAAUUCUCCAUGAACCUGAUAGGAGAACUUCACUGCCGGCAAGUCUCAGCUGCCGAGGCUUUUCAGGCUGCCCAUCGAGUCACCUGCAGAAUUCACAUGAACACCUAGACGCUCAUGUCUGCUUAGGUCAUUAUUCAUUUCUCUGUGAUUAAAAGUGAUUUUAAUAAACAUAAA